rnacentral:rRNA from 1 species
UACGUAGGGUGCAAGCGUUGUCCGGAAUUAUUGGGCGUAAAGAGCUCGUAGGCGGUUUGUUGCGUCGGCUGUGAAAUCCCGAGGCUCAACCUCGGGUCUGCAGUCGAUACGAGCAAACUAGAGUGUUGCAGGGGGAGACUGGAAUUCCUGGUGUAGCGGUGAAAUGCGCAGAUAUCAGGAGGAACACCGGUGGCGAAGGCGGGUCUCUGGGGCAACAACUGACGCUGAGGAGCGAAAGCGUGGGGGAGCGAACAGGA